rnacentral:rRNA from 1 species
GACGAACCGUGCGAACGUUAUUCGGAUUCACUGGGCUUAAAGCGCGUGUAGGCGGGUGGGUGCGUCGAGAGUUGAAAGCCCCCGGCUCAACCGGGGAACAGGCCUCGAUACGGCCGACCUGGAGGAAGGUAGAGGGAGCCGGAACUUCCGGUGGAGCGGUGAAAUGCGUUGAGAUCGGAAGGAACGCCCGUGGCGAAAGCGGGCUCCUGGACCUUACCUGACGCUGAGACGCGAAAGCCAGGGGAGCAAACGGG